rnacentral:tRNA from 2 species
GGCUAGAUGGCCGAGCGGUUAUGGCGUGUGACUCAAGAUUCGUCUUUUCCGUGACAUACACGGUUUCUCAUGGGGCAACCCGCGGGGGUUCGAAUCCCCCUCUAGUCA